GAUAACAUUAACAGCUGACCCGCCAAUAUUCCAAGCCGAGACUGAGUCAGAUCUGGCUCUAGAGUCAGGUCUCGCUUCAGAGAGAACGUCAACGAGCGUCUCACGGAAUUUCCGUUCUCGACGGUGGAAGAAGGAUAACGGGCACAGCUGCACGUCUAUGAACCCAACACAUUUUAUUUUUUUGUGGGUUGACAUGGUAUCAGCGCUUUUCUAAGAAAAGCUUCCGCAAUUUUGCAACGUAUUUUUCUCAUUCUUGAUGUUGAUGGUGUUUCUGCAAGUUUAAUGAAAAAGAACGGAUCUUUUUUUAUGAUAUUUGGUGUUUGUGAUGUUUUAUGGCCUCAUGUGAUUUCUGUGGUGAUUGCCGCCGUUGUUAGCGCCGGAAAUUGUGAUCAUCGCAAGGUAGAAGACGACUGCUGUUUGCCGAAUAUCCGUAAGAGGCUGUCCCUGCUCUAAUCCAAGACUAGUUAAACAUACUUGCCAUGCUGACCCGCCAAUAUUCCAAGCCGAGACUGAGUCAGAUCUGGCUCUAGAGUCAGGUCUCGCUUCAGAGAGAACGUCAACGAGCGUCUCACGGAAUUUCCGUUCUCGACGGUGGAAGAAGGAUAACGGGCACAGCUGCACGUCUAUGAACCCAACACAUUUUUUAUUUUUUUGUGGGUUGACAAGCGCCAGAAAUUGUGAUCGGGAGCAUCGCAAGGUAGAAGACGACUGCUUGCAGAAUAUCCCGCCGGAAAUUGUCAUCAUCGCAAGGUAGAAGACGACUGCUGUUUGCGGAAUAUCCAUAAGACUAGUUAAACAUACUCUGGCCCAUUUGCGGAACUUGAUAAGCUUCUUGAGCGGUUGCGUGUCCCUUCCGAGUAUGCAGCAAGGUUGACAGGAGGUUCAUCCGAUUCGAUUGGAAUUUAAGUUGUAUCUAUUUCUUCCUCUUACAUAUUUUCU